rnacentral:rRNA from 1 species
GUGUCAGCAGCCGCGGUAAUACGAAGGGUGCAAACGUUGCUCGGAAUCAUUGGGCGUAAAGCGCACGUAGGCGGCUUCGCAAGUCGGAUGUGAAAUCCCACGGCUCAACCAUGGACGUGCAUCCGAAACUGUGAGGCUUGAGUAUGGAAGAGGGUCGCGGAAUUCCCGGUGUAGAGGUGAAAUUCGUAGAUAUCGGGAGGAACACCAGUGGCGAAGGCGGCGACCUGGGCCAAUACUGACGCUGAGGUGCGAAAGCGUGGGGAGCAAACAGGAUUAGAAACCCUCGUAGUCC